rnacentral:rRNA from 1 species
AACGAACGCUGGCGGCAGGCCUAACACAUGCAAGUCGAGCGAGGACUUCGGUCCUAGCGGCGGACGGGUGAGUAACGCGUGGGAACGUGCCCUUUGCUACGGAAUAGCCCCGAGAAACUGGGAGUAAUACCGUAUGAGCUCUACGGAGGAAAGAUUUAUCGCCAAGGGAUCGGCCCGCGUUGGAUUAGGUAGUUGGUGGGGUAAUGGCCUACCAAGCCGACGAUCCAUAGCUGGUUUGAGAGGAUGAUCAGCCACACUGGGACUGAGACACGGCCCAGACUCCUACGGGAGGCAGCAGUGGGGAAUCUUAGACAAUGGGCGCAAGCCUGAUCUAGCCAUGCCGCGUGAGCGAUGAAGGCCUUAGGGUUGUAAAGCUCUUUCAGCGAGGAAGAUAAUGACUGUACUCGCAGAAGAAGCCCCGGCUAACUCCGUGCCAGCCGCCGCGGUAAUAC